rnacentral:rRNA from 1 species
GUGAGAGCGUACACAGUGCUGCAUGGCUGUCGCCAGCUCGUGUCGUGAGAUGUUGGGUUAAGUCCCGCAACGAGCGCAACCCUGCAUUCAGUUGCCAUCGGUAAGCCGGGCACUCUGGAUGGACUGCCGGCGACAAGCCGGAGGAAGGUGGGGACGACGUCAAGUCAUCAUGGCCCUUAUGUCCAGGGCGACACACGUGCUACAAUGGCCGGCACAACGGGAAGCGAAGGGGCGACCCUGAGCGGAUCCCACAAAAGCCGGUCUCAGUUCGGAUUGCAGUCUGCAACUCGACUGCAUGAAGUUGGAAUCGCUAGUAAUCGUGGAUCAGCCAAGCCGCGGUGAAUACGUUCCCGGGCCUU